CGGGGAUGAAGCCCAGCACGUUGACAUAGAAAUCCAUCGCCUCCUGGACAUUGCUGCAGUUUCGAGAUAUGUGAUUAAGCGACGCGAGCGGCAGCGGAGUCGACUGCCACUUUUUAAGCGACACGAACGAACGCAAAACCAACAAAGAAGGCAGAAACGUAGCGUAACGAACGGGAAGAGCGUGAGAACGAGAACUAGAGCUUCGUGCUAUGUGUGGGAUAAGGAGUGGGGGACUCUGCCGCUUAAGAAGGCUGCUGCCACGCAGCAGUGACGCGUCGCCAGGUCACUGGGCACAUGGUCUGACAUGGCAAUGCCCGACGCGCCACGUACCGACGGAUGGCAUCUCCUAAAGUGACGAGGCGUGUGCUCAGCUGGUGGUGGAUGGAGAAGCCACUGAAAAAAAAAACUAUCCACUCUCGAAACUACAGAUUUUUGCUUCAUGUCAUUCAGUGUAUGAUCAAUAAGAGAAAACUAGGCCAGUGCAUCGAAGUCGAGCUACAAGCAACUUGCCUGUGAAAUCAUUUUCCUUGACUGAAGAUACAAACAACGAAUCGGGGAUGGAUUAUAAUAAUUUACGAGGUUCAUGCAUCUAAGGCCACUGCUCACAUUGCGUUGGAGCUUAUACCAAAGACAGGAGUCUUUGGAUCAAACAGCGUGGCAGCUUUUGGUCUUGGCUCGGUCCGGGACUACAACAAGACAAAAGGCCACGAGUUUCACGGGCUAAGGAGAACAAUGCCACUGGCUUGGUUUUGAGGAUUUCUCCUGCCACGGCAGAUAGGAGAAUGAAAAGCUGUGCCAACACUAAAUACGAGGGUAAAGGGAAUUUCACUACGCUACGCUACUCAAAUUCCGCGUGCUUGGAGUGAUGACUCUGGUGAUUGUAACGUUUGAAGAAAACUUUGGCAAUACCGGCGAGAUAGCUUAGAAUUGUAUUGCUUGUGUCAUUAUGGAUGUCCUAAAGCUUGAUUUUAAGUGUUUUGCAAAUCUGAGCUCAGUCAUUUAUUUUUAAAUUAAAACUAUUCACUCAA